UACGGGGGGGGCAAGCGUUGUUCGGAAUUACUGGGCGUAAAGGGCCUGUAGGCGGCCAACUAAGUCGGAUGUGAAAUCCCCAGGCUUAACCUGGGAACUGCAUCCGAUACUGGAUGGCUUGAAUUCGGGAGAGGGAAGCAGAAUUCCAGGUGUAGCGGUGAAAUGCGUAGAUAUCUGGAGGAAUACCGGUGGCGAAGGCGGCAUCCUGGACCGACAUUGACGCUGAACGGCGAAAGCUAGGGUAGCAAACGGG
rnacentral:rRNA from 1 species